rnacentral:rRNA from 1 species
AACGAACGCUGGCGGCAGGCCUAACACAUGCAAGUCGAGCGCACCUUCGGGUGAGCGGCGGACGGGUGAGUAACGCGUGGGAAUAUGCCCUUCUCUACGGAAUAGUCUCGGGAAACUGGGGGUAAUACCGUAUACGCCCUACGGGGGAAAGAUUUAUCGGAGAAGGAUUAGCCCGCGUUGGAUUAGGUAGUUGGUGGGGUAACGGCCUACCAAGCCGACGAUCCAUAGCUGGUUUGAGAGGAUGAUCAGCCACACUGGGACUGAGACACGGCCCAGACUCCUACGGGAGGCAGCAGUGGGGAAUCUUAGACAAUGGGGGCAACCCUGAUCUAGCCAUGCCGCGUGAGUGAUGAAGGCCUUAGGGUUGUAAAGCUCUUUCAGCUGGGAAGAUAAUGACGGUACCAGCAGAAGAAGCCCCGGCUAACUCCGUGCCAGCAGCCGCGGUAACAC